rnacentral:rRNA from 1 species
UGGGGAAUCUUGCGCAAUGCGCGAAAGCGUGACGCAGCAACGCCGCGUGGGGGAAGAAGGCCUUCGGGUUGUAAACCCCUUUCAGUUGGGACGAAGCUUCGAGGGUUAAUAGCUCUCUGGAGUGACGGUACCUUCAGAAGAAGCCCCGGCUAACUACGUGCCAGCAGCCGCGGUAAUACGUAGGGGGCUAGCGUUGACCGGAAUCAUUGGGCGUAAAGCGCGUGUAGGCGGUCCGGUAAGUCCGCUGUGAAAGUCGGGGGCGUCAACCCUCGGAUGCCGGUGGAUACUGUCGGGCUUGAGUACGGAAGAGGCGAGUGGAAUUCCUGGUGUAGCGGUGAAAUGCGCAGAUAUCAGGAGGAACACCAAUUGCGAAGGCAGCUCGCUGGGACGUUACUGACGCUGAGACGCGAAAGCGUGGGGAGGCAAACAGGAUUAGGUACCCUGGUAGUCCACGCUGUAAACGAUGGGCACUAGGUGUGGGGGGUGUCGGACUCCCUCCGUGCCGAAGCUAAC